CUCCAUUUAUCAGAGAAAUGCAAAUGAAAUCAGGAUUGCAUUCUUCACCUGUCAAAUUGGCAGAUGCAACAGUAGCUGGUACUUACUGAGCCCUUUCUGUGUUAGCUACUAGUCUAAGAGUUACCACCACUCAUACAUAUGUAAAGGCUAAUGGAGUUGUAAAUGUAACUUUUGAGGACUUUAUUGUAUGUAUGCGUAUUAGUCUGUUCUCACACUGCUAAUAAAGACAUACCCGAGACUGGGUAAUUUAUAAAGGAAAGGAGGUUUAAUGGACUCACAGUUCCACAUGGCUGAGGAGACCUCACAAUCAUGGUAGAGGGUAAAGGGGUAGAAAGUCAUGUCUUACAUGGCAGCAGGCAAGAGAGCUUGUGUAGGGGAGCUCCCCUUUAUAAAACCAUCAGACCUGGUGAGACUUAUUCACAUGAGAACAGCAUAGGAAAGACCCGCCCCGAUGAUUCAGUUACCUCCCACCAGGUCCCUCCUACAACACGUGAGAAUUAUGGGAGCUACAAUUCAAGAUGAGAUUUGGGUGGGGACACAGCCAAAACAUAUCAGUAUGUUAUGGCCUUAUAUAAAAGUUGUUUUGUUUGUAAGCAG
rnacentral:lncRNA from 10 species